rnacentral:rRNA from 1 species
AUUGAACGCUGGCGGCAGGCUUAACACAUGCAAGUCGAGCGGUAACAGAGAGAAGCUUGCUUCUCUGCUGACGAGCGGCGGACGGGUGAGUAAUGCCUAGGAAUCUGCCUAGUAGUGGGGGAUAACUUGCCGAAAGGUAAGCUAAUACCGCAUACGUCCUACGGGAGAAAGGAGGGGACCUUCGGGCCUUUCGCUAUUAGAUGAGCCUAGGUCGGAUUAGUUAGUUGGUGAGGUAAUGGCUCACCAAGACCGCGAUCCGUAACUGGUCUGAGAGGAUGAUCAGUCACACUGGAACUGAGACACGGUCCAGACUCCUACGGGGGGCAGCAGUGAGGAAUAUUGGACAAUGGGGGGAACCCUGAUCCAGCCAUGCCGCGUGUGUGAAGAAGGUCUUAGGAUUGUAAAGCACUUUAAGUUGGGAGGAAGAGCAGUUAACUAAUAUUUGACUGUUUUGACGUUACCGACAGAAUAAGCACCGGCUAACUUCGUGCCAGCAGCCGCGGUAA